GACAUUUUGUUUAGCAAUUAUGAACCAAGUGAAGAUGUGCUAACCACACAGCUUGGGAUACUUGAAUAACAGCCAUACACUACGGCCCGGGAUACUAGGCAAGUGCGGCCGCGAAACUAGUAAUAGUUAGCGAUAGCGGAGAAACUCCAAAUGUUAAGAGUAUGCGCUAAGUAAUUCGGUUGAAAAUGUACGAUUCCUUACGGCGACGCAAUAGGAAGCCAGGUUAAGAGCCAGGCCAAAUCCAAGAAAGUGUAUUGGGGUGGUAGCCAAUAAAUACCUUGGAAAAACCACAAGUCGCUAUGUCGAUGAAAGCCAGAAAUGGCAUAUAAGUAAGGUUUGCGGUUGGAGUAGCCCAAGACAAGAAAUUGGAUUAAAUAGAAAUAUUGAAAUUUGAUUUCUGCUGAAUGGUUUGGGUGAAACUUAGAGGUAAGCAUUCCUCUCUAUUCUCGGUGCUUGGCACGGGAAUCGGAUGGUAUAAGGUCGCUACUUAUGCCACAGCCCGAUUUUCAAUAGUAACAUAAUAUUCAACAAGAAUUAUGAGGUACGGCGAAGGUCGCAGUAAUUGUUAAACAAAGU
rnacentral:ncRNA from 1 species